UUAACUCAAAUUUGUAAGCAGUUGGAACAGCGUCCUUAGCGGCAAACUUAAGCAAACUUUCCAACUCCGUACAAAUUUGAGUUA
rnacentral:pre_miRNA from 1 species